rnacentral:rRNA from 1 species
GUCUUUUUGAUUUUAAUUUAAAGUCUUACCUGCCCCCUGAGUAAUUAAAUGGCCGCGGUAUCUUGACCGUGCUAAGGUAGCAUAAUCAUUAGUUUUUUAAUUGAAAGCUGGAAUGAAGGGUUUGACGAGAAAAAAGCUGUCUCAAUUUAAUAAUUUGAAUUUUAUUUUUAAGUUAAAAAGCUUAAAUUUAUUUAAAAGACGAGAAGACCCUAUAGAGUUUGAUAAAUAAAGUAUUUACAUUAAUAUAGAAUUAAUUAAUUAAAUACUAAAAUUUAUUUGAUUGGGGUGAUUUAAAAAUUAAGUUAACUUUUUAUAUUUUUUUUCAUUGAUUUAUGUUCAAUUGAUCCAUUAUUAACGAUUAAAAGAUGAAAUUACCUUAGGGAUAACAGCGUAAUUUUUUUUGAGAGUUCUUAUUGAAAAAAAAGAUUGCGA